UACGUAGGGUGCAAGCGUUAAUCGGAAUUACUGGGCGUAAAGCGUGCGCAGGCGGCUUUGCAAGACAGAUGUGAAAUCCCCGGGCUUAACCUGGGAACUGCAUUUGUGACUGCAUGGCUAGAGUGCGGCAGAGGGGGAUGGAAUUCCGCGUGUAGCAGUGAAAUGCGUAGAUAUGCGGAGGAACACCGAUGGCGAAGGCAAUCCCCUGGGCCUGCACUGACGCUCAUGCACGAAAGCUAGGGGAGCGAAUGGG
rnacentral:rRNA from 1 species